UUAAGCGACUAAGCGUACACGGUGGAUGCCCUGGCAGUCAGAGGCGAUGAAGGACGUGCUAAUCUGCGAUAAGCGUCGGUAAGGUGAUAUGAACCGUUAUAACCGGCGAUUUCCGAAUGGGGAAACCCAGUGUGUUUCGACACACUAUCAUUAACUGAAUCCAUAGGUUAAUGAGGCGAACCGGGGGAACUGAAACAUCUAAGUACCCCGAGGAAAAGAAAUCAACCGAGAUUCCCCCAGUAGCGGCGAGCGAACGGGGAGCAGCCCAGAGCCUGAAUCAGUGUGUGUGUUAGUGGAAGCGUCUGGAAAGGCGCGCGAUACAGGGUGACAGCCCCGUACACAAAAAUGCACAUGCUGUGAGCUCGAUGAGUAGGGCGGGACACGUGGUAUCCUGUCUGAAUAUGGGGGGACCAUCCUCCAAGGCUAAAUACUCCUGACUGACCGAUAGUGAACCAGUACCGUGAGGGAAAGGCGAAAAGAACCCCGGCGAGGGGAGUGAAAAAGAACCUGAAACCGUGUACGUACAAGCAGUGGGAGCACGCUUAGGCGUGUGACUGCGUACCUUUUGUAUAAUGGGUCAGCGACUUAUAUUCUGUAGCAAGGUUAACCGAAUAGGGGAGCCGAAGGGAAACCGAGUCUUAACUGGGCGUUAAGUUGCAGGGUAUAGACCCGAAACCCGGUGAUCUAGCCAUGGGCAGGUUGAAGGUUGGGUAACACUAACUGGAGGACCGAACCGACUAAUGUUGAAAAAUUAGCGGAUGACUUGUGGCUGGGGGUGAAAGGCCAAUCAAACCGGGAGAUAGCUGGUUCUCCCCGAAAGCUAUUUAGGUAGCGCCUCGUGAAUUCAUCUCCGGGGGUAGAGCACUGUUUCGGCAAGGGGGUCAUCCCGACUUACCAACCCGAUGCAAACUGCGAAUACCGGAGAAUGUUAUCACGGGAGACACACGGCGGGUGCUAACGUCCGUCGUGAAGAGGGAAACAACCCAGACCGCCAGCUAAGGUCCCAAAGUCAUGGUUAAGUGGGAAACGAUGUGGGAAGGCCCAGACAGCCAGGAUGUUGGCUUAGAAGCAGCCAUCAUUUAAAGAAAGCGUAAUAGCUCACUGGUCGAGUCGGCCUGCGCGGAAGAUGUAACGGGGCUAAACCAUGCACCGAAGCUGCGGCAGCGACGCUUAUGCGUUGUUGGGUAGGGGAGCGUUCUGUAAGCCUGUGAAGGUGUGCUGUGAGGCAUGCUGGAGGUAUCAGAAGUGCGAAUGCUGACAUAAGUAACGAUAAAGCGGGUGAAAAGCCCGCUCGCCGGAAGACCAAGGGUUCCUGUCCAACGUUAAUCGGGGCAGGGUGAGUCGACCCCUAAGGCGAGGCCGAAAGGCGUAGUCGAUGGGAAACAGGUUAAUAUUCCUGUACUUGGUGUUACUGCGAAGGGGGGACGGAGAAGGCUAUGUUGGCCGGGCGACGGUUGUCCCGGUUUAAGCGUGUAGGCUGGUUUUCCAGGCAAAUCCGGAAAAUCAAGGCUGAGGCGUGAUGACGAGGCACUACGGUGCUGAAGCAACAAAUGCCCUGCUUCCAGGAAAAGCCUCUAAGCAUCAGGUAACAUCAAAUCGUACCCCAAACCGACACAGGUGGUCAGGUAGAGAAUACCAAGGCGCUUGAGAGAACUCGGGUGAAGGAACUAGGCAAAAUGGUGCCGUAACUUCGGGAGAAGGCACGCUGAUAUGUAGGUGAAGCGACUUGCUCGUGGAGCUGAAAUCAGUCGAAGAUACCAGCUGGCUGCAACUGUUUAUUAAAAACACAGCACUGUGCAAACACGAAAGUGGACGUAUACGGUGUGACGCCUGCCCGGUGCCGGAAGGUUAAUUGAUGGGGUUAGCGCAAGCGAAGCUCUUGAUCGAAGCCCCGGUAAACGGCGGCCGUAACUAUAACGGUCCUAAGGUAGCGAAAUUCCUUGUCGGGUAAGUUCCGACCUGCACGAAUGGCGUAAUGAUGGCCAGGCUGUCUCCACCCGAGACUCAGUGAAAUUGAACUCGCUGUGAAGAUGCAGUGUACCCGCGGCAAGACGGAAAGACCCCGUGAACCUUUACUAUAGCUUGACACUGAACAUUGAGCCUUGAUGUGUAGGAUAGGUGGGAGGCUUUGAAGUGUGGACGCCAGUCUGCAUGGAGCCGACCUUGAAAUACCACCCUUUAAUGUUUGAUGUUCUAACGUUGACCCGUAAUCCGGGUUGCGGACAGUGUCUGGUGGGUAGUUUGACUGGGGCGGUCUCCUCCUAAAGAGUAACGGAGGAGCACGAAGGUUGGCUAAUCCUGGUCGGACAUCAGGAGGUUAGUGCAAUGGCAUAAGCCAGCUUGACUGCGAGCGUGACGGCGCGAGCAGGUGCGAAAGCAGGUCAUAGUGAUCCGGUGGUUCUGAAUGGAAGGGCCAUCGCUCAACGGAUAAAAGGUACUCCGGGGAUAACAGGCUGAUACCGCCCAAGAGUUCAUAUCGACGGCGGUGUUUGGCACCUCGAUGUCGGCUCAUCACAUCCUGGGGCUGAAGUAGGUCCCAAGGGUAUGGCUGUUCGCCAUUUAAAGUGGUACGCGAGCUGGGUUUAGAACGUCGUGAGACAGUUCGGUCCCUAUCUGCCGUGGGCGCUGGAGAACUGAGGGGGGCUGCUCCUAGUACGAGAGGACCGGAGUGGACGCAUCACUGGUGUUCGGGUUGUCAUGCCAAUGGCACUGCCCGGUAGCUAAAUGCGGAAGAGAUAAGUGCUGAAAGCAUCUAAGCACGAAACUUGCCCCGAGAUGAGUUCUCCCUGACUCCUUGAGAGUCCUGAAGGAACGUUGAAGACGACGACGUUGAUAGGCCGGGUGUGUAAGCGCAGCGAUGCGUUGAGCUAACCGGUACUAAUGAACCGUGAGGCUUAACCUU
rnacentral:rRNA from 1 species